rnacentral:rRNA from 1 species
GGGCUUGCUCUUUAGUUAGUGGCGAACGGGUGAGUAAUAUAUCGGAACAUAUCCGGAAGUGGGGGAUAACGUAKCGAAAGUUACGCUAAUACCGCAUAUGCCCUGAGGGGGAAAGGGGGGGAUCGCAAGACCUCUCGCUUUCGGAGUGGCCGAUAUCGGAUUAGCUAGUAGGUGAGGUAAAGGCUCACCUAGGCGACGAUCCGUAGCUGGUCUGAGAGGACGACCAGCCACACUGGAACUGAGACACGGUCCAGACUCCUACGGGAGGCAGCAGUGGGGAAUUUUGGACAAUGGGCGAAAGCCUGAUCCAGCCAUACCGCGUGAGUGAAGAAGGCCUUCGGGUUGUAAAGCUCUUUCAGCCGGAAAGAAAUCGCACUUCUUAAUACGAAGUGUGGAUGACGGUACCGGAAGAAGAAGCACCGGCUAACUCUGUG